CCUACGGGAGGCAGCAGUGGGGAAUAUUGCACAAUGGGGAAAACCUGAAGCAGCGAAGCCGCGUGAAGGAAGGAGGAUUUUGGUAUGGAAACCUCUAUCAGCAGGGAAGAAAAAGACGGUACCUUGCCAAGAAGCCCCGGCUAAAUACGUGCCAGGAGCCGGGGUAAUACGUAGGGGGCAAGAUUUAUCCGGAUUUACUGGGUGGAAAGGGAGCGUAGGCGGUUUAGCAAGUCAGAAGUGAAAGCCCGGGGCUCAACUCCGGGACUGCUUUUGAAACUGUUGAACUAGAUUGCAGGAGAGGUAAGUGGAAUUCCUAGUGUAGCGGUGAAAUGCGUAGAUAUUAGGAGGAACACCAGUGGCGAAGGCGGCUUACUGGACUGUAAAUGACGCUGAGGCUCGAAAGCGUGGGGAGCAAACAGGAUUAGAUACCCUUGUAGUC
rnacentral:rRNA from 1 species